rnacentral:rRNA from 1 species
ACAUGCCUACAACAUAGCGUUAAUGCACCGGAUCCCAUUAGAACUCCACAGUUAAGUGUGCUCAUGCUAGAUUAGUACUGGGAUGGGUGACCGCCCAGGAAGUCCUAGUAUUUGACAUGCC